rnacentral:rRNA from 1 species
CACGUAGGGCGCAAGCGUUGUCCGGAAUUAUUGGGCGUAAAGAGCUCGUAGGCGGUCUGUUGCGUCCGCUGUGAAAACUCGGGGCUUAACCCCGAGCCUGCAGUGGAUACGGGCAGACUAGAGGUAGGUAGGGGAGAAUGGAAUUCCCGGUGUAGCGGUGAAAUGCGCAGAUAUCGGGAGGAACACCGGUGGCGAAGGCGGGUCUCUGGACAGUUCCUGACGCUGAGGCACGAAGGCCAGGGGAGCAAACGGG